rnacentral:rRNA from 1 species
UACGUAGGGGGCUAGCGUUGUCCGGAAUCAUUGGGCGUAAAGCGCGUGUAGGCGGCCUGUUAAGUCCGCUGUGAAAGUCCAGGGCUCAACCCUGGGAUGCCGGUGGAUACUGUCGGGCUCGAGUCCGGAAGAGGCGAGUGGAAUUCCUGGUGUAGCGGUGAAAUGCGCAGAUAUCAGGAGGAACACCAAUGGCGAAGGCAGCUCGCUGGGACGUGACUGACGCUGAGACGCGAAAGCGUGGGGAGCAAACAGG